AGAGCGAACGCUGGCGGCAGGCCUAACACAUGCAAGUCGAGCGCUCGUAGCAAUACGAGAGCGGCAGACGGGAGAGUAACACGUGGGAACGUACCCUUUGGUUCGGAACAACACAGGGAAACUUGUGCUAAUACCGAAUAAGCCCUUACGGGGAAAGAUUUAUCGCCGAAGGAUCGGCCCGCGUCUGAUUAGCUAGUUGGUGGGGUAACGGCUCACCAAGGCGACGAUCAGUAGCUGGUCUGAGAGGAUGACCAGCCUCAUUGGGACUGAGACACGGCCCAAACUCCUACGGGAGGCAGCAGUGGGGAAUAUUGGACAAUGGGCGCAAGCCUGAUCCAGCCAUGCCGCGUGGAUGAUGAAGGCCUUAGGGUUGUAAAGCUCUUUCGCUAGGGACGAUAAUGACGGUACCUAGACAAGAGCCCCGGCUAACUUCGUGCCAGCAGCCGC
rnacentral:rRNA from 1 species